GGGCCCGCACAAGCGGUGGAGUAUGUGGUUUAAUUCGAUGCAACGCGAAGAACCUUACCAGGGUUUGACAUCCUGCGAAUUUCUGGGAAACCGGAAAGUGCCUUCGGGAGCGCAGUGACAGGUGGUGCAUGGCUGUCGUCAGCUCGUGUCGUGAGAUGUUGGGUUAAGUCCCGCAACGAGCGCAACCCACGUCUUUAGUUGCCAGCAUUUAGUUGGGCACUCUAGAGAGACCGCCGGUGAUAAACCGGAGGAAGGUGUGGAUGACGUCAAGUCAUCAUGCCCCUUACAUCCUGGGCUACACACGUACUACAAUGCUACGGACAAAGGGCAGCAAACUCGCGAGAGCUAGCAAAUCCCAUAAACCGUGGCUCAGUUCAGAUCGUAGGCUGCAACUCGCCUACGUGAAGGAGGAAUCGCUAGUAAUCGCAGGU
rnacentral:rRNA from 1 species